rnacentral:rRNA from 1 species
AGUGAACGCUGGCGGUAGGCCUAACACAUGCAAGUCGAACGGCAGCACAGUAAGAGCUUGCUCUUACGGGUGGCGAGUGGCGGACGGGUGAGGAAUACAUCGGAAUCUACUUUUUCGUGGGGGAUAACGUAGGGAAACUUACGCUAAUACCGCAUACGACCUACGGGUGAAAGCAGGGGAUCUUCGGACCUUGCGCGAUUGAAUGAGCCGAUGUCGGAUUAGCUAGUUGGCGGGGUAAAGGCCCACCAAGGCGACGAUCCGUAGCUGGUCUGAGAGGAUGUUCAGCCACACUGGAACUGAGACACGGUCCAGACUCCUACGGGAGGCAGCAGUGGGGAAUAUUGGACAAUGGGCGCAAGCCUGAUCCAGCCAUACCGCGUGGGUGAAGAAGGCCUUCGGGUUGUAAAGCCCUUUUGUCGGGAAAGAAAAGCAGCAGGUUAAUACCCCGCUGUUCUGACGGUACCCAAAGAAUAAGCACCGGCUAACUUCGUG